rfam:Dipodomys ordii contig_18815, whole genome shotgun sequence.
GGGAAGGUGGCUCAGUGGUAGAGUGCUUGCCUUGCAUGCAUGAGGCCUUGGUUUCCAUUCCUCAGCAUCCCA